rnacentral:rRNA from 1 species
UACGAAGGGUGCAAGCGUUACUCGGAAUUACUGGGCGUAAAGGGUGCGUAGGUGGUCGUUUAAGUCCGUUGUGAAAUCCCUGGGCUCAACCUGGGAAUGGCAGUGGAUACUGGACGGCUAGAAUGCGGUAGAGGGUAGUGGAAUUCCCGGUGUAGCGGUGAAAUGCGUAGAUAUCAGGAGGAACACCGGUGGCGAAGGCGGGUCUCUGGGCCGAUACUGACACUGAGGAGCGAAAGCGUGGGGAGCGAACAGG